rnacentral:rRNA from 1 species
UACGAAGGGGGCUAGCGUUGCUCGGAAUGACUGGGCGUAAAGGGCGCGUAGGCGGAUUGAUUAGUUAGGCGUGAAAUUCCUGGGCUUAACCUGGGGGCUGCGCUUAAUACAGUCAGUCUAGAGUAUGGAAGAGGGUCGUGGAAUUCCCAGUGUAGAGGUGAAAUUCGUAGAUAUUGGGAAGAACACCGGUGGCGAAGGCGGCGACCUGGUCCAUUACUGACGCUGAGGCGCGAAAGCGUGGGGAGCAAACAGG